rnacentral:rRNA from 1 species
AACGAACGGUGGCGGCGUGGAUAAGACAUGCAAGUCGAACGGGACUUUCAUUGUAGCAAUAUGAUGGAAGUCCAGUGGCGUAAGGGUGCGUAACACGUGGGAAAUCUGCCGAGAAGUGGGGGAUAGCUCGCCGAAAGGCGAAUUAAUACCGCAUGUGGUCAGCGAGGACAUCUUCGCGAAACCAAAGCCGGGUACCUGGCAACAGGCCUGGCGCUUCUUGAUGANCCCCGCGGCCUAUCAGCUAGUUGGCGGGGUAAAAGCCCACCAAGGCUAUGACGGGUAGCUGGUCUGAGAGGACGACCAGCCACACUGGAACUGAGACACGGUCCAGACACCUACGGGUGGCAGCAGUCGA